rnacentral:rRNA from 1 species
GAUGAACGCUGGCGGCGUGCCUAAUACAUGCCAGUCGAGCGAACAGACGAGGAGCUUGCUCCUCUGACGUUAGCGGCGGACGGGUGAGUAACACGUGGAUAACCUACCUAUAAGACUGGGAUAACUUCGGGAAACCGGAGCUAAUACCGGAUAAUAUAUUGAACCGCAUGGUUCAAUAGUGAAAGACGGUUUUGCUGUCACUUAUAGAUGGAUCCGCGCCGCAUUAGCUAGUUGGUAAGGUAACGGCUUACCAAGGCGACGAUGCGUAGCCGACCUGAGAGGGUGAUCGGACACACUGGAACUGAGACACGGUCCAGACUCCUACGGGAGGCAGCAGUAGGGAAUCUUCCGCAAUGGGCGAAAGCUUGACGGAGCAACGCCGCGUGAGUGAUGAAGGUCUUCGGAUCGUAAAACUCUGUUAUUAGGGAAGAACAAAUGUGUAAGUAACUAUGCACGUCUUGACGGUACCUAAUCAGAAAGCCACGGCUAACUACGUG